AUCAGACAGGGUCAACAUAUGGUCGAAAGAUGAUGACCAGGUAUCUGUCUGCGAUGGGAGUGGUUGCUGGUGAACGCCGGAUAGGGAGGAUUUUGAGAACAACGCAUUGUCCUUAUCACGAAAUGCGCAAACAUAUAAGUAUCUUUUGCAAGCCUUUAAUGUUGUGAUAUAUGGUAUCAUGUAUUUUACUAGCUAACUUUUACUUAGUUUUCCCCAAAAGGGUGCACGUAACCUUAACCCCGUCCCCUACAGUGCUGCAUACAUGGGACACAAAAUCCACAUCGACCAGAAUGAAAAAUUGGUCAUGUUCGGAGUGACGCACGUUUUCGCAGUAGAUGGGUACAGCAGUAAGGUCGUUGCCCAUGCAACCAUGCCUGUCAAGAAUAACCUCACGAUAUAUGAGGAAGUUUACAGAUCAGCAGUUCUUGAAAAUGGGAUGUGGGACCAGGUCAGGGUGGACCAUGGCCAUGAGUUUUACUUGUCCCUCUACAUGCAGGAGAUGCUGUCUAACCACAGACACAACUUGCAAAGGCAACCAUAUCGCCAAACUCAGUCAACAAAGAAUCAUACAGUAGAGUGAAUGUGGGUAGAGAUAAAUAACAGGGUAAAUUACCCAGUGAAGGAGGCCCUCAUGCAGCUGCAGGAUCAGGAAGUCCUCAACAUGGACGACAACAUGACUAGAUACUGCACAUCUAACCUUACUGCUGAGCUGUGCAAGAUUGGCAUAGCAAGAGCUGUACAUGCAUGGAAUGCACACAGAAUCCCAGGCAAAGGAACACCCAAUUGUUUAGCAGCAGGAGUAUGUCCAAAGAAACUGGGAGAGGAGUUGUUGCCUCAUGCCUCCCAAGCACCAGACAUGUACCAGCAGGAUGUUGGCUCUUCACUCCUGGCUGACGUCUGACGUUAUGCUUCAGCUCCAGAGACGGCAGGUGGGACGAGUCAACGGAGGCCUGGAAGACAAAGGCAUGCAGCUGAGUACAAUCCAGAAAACAACAGAGGAGGAGUGCAGAGCCAGAAAAAACAGAGUAUGUCUCUUAGAAAACAUCAUAGUAUAGCCUUUGGUAUGAAAAAACGCCAUCAUAUACAUCGUAUAUUGUACAAAUAACAAGUCAAAGCAAAGAGACAUACAUUGUAGAAUUGUAGUAAUUGUGGGCUGACUGAUUUACUGAUUAUCAGUAUUUUAUUUUGUACUGAUUUACGGUAAUAAAUACAUUUAAAAACGGCCCUACUGUGGCUCUGAACCUUUAUCUACCUGUGGUCGCUCUGUCUUCUGGAGUGAUUUGAUUGGUUAUACG
ensembl:lncRNA